UACGUAGGGUGCGAGCGUUGUCCGGAAUUAUUGGGCGUAAAGGGCUCGUAGGCGGUUUGUCGCGUCGGGAGUGAAAACUCAGGGCUUAACCCUGAGCCUGCUUCCGAUACGGGCAGACUAGAGGUAUGAAGGGGAGAAUGGAAUUCCUGGUGUAGCGGUGAAAUGCGCAGAUAUCAGGAGGAACACCGGUGGCGAAGGCGGUUCUCUGGGCAUUACCUGACGCUGAGGAGCGAAAGUGUGGGGAGCGAACAGG
rnacentral:rRNA from 1 species